AAGUACUUAUCAACUAGCAUUCAAAGUGUUUAAAGUAACUUUUAAAAGUUAGUAAGGACGGAAAUAUUCAGAUGGUGACUAAUUGAGUAUCAACACUACUAAAGCCAGACCUUUUUAGUCUAAUUGAUAAUUUGCAUAUUAAUGUAAGAGCCUAACCAAGUGAAGGGGGACAACCAAAAACUGUAGAAAUUUCACGAAAUCAUGUCAGUUCCUAGAUUUCCUUUUGUCUAAAUGAGGAUCCUUUCAAGAUCUUAUCCCUCCUCUUUUUUUUCUUUGUUCCUUUAAUUUUUCUUUUCAAACUUUAAUUUUCAUCUUCUGUGCUUAUGCAUCCCUUUUUUUUCAUAAGGUAAAUAAUUUUAGUAAUAUUGGAAAAGCUCAUCAAAACAUGAUUCUCUACAAAAGACACCCAAUCAUCUAUACAAAUAGGAAUCUCAUGGGAGCACCAAAAAGCAAUCAAAGACAACCAGGUUAUUCCUCAGAUAUAAAAAAAGAAAUUCAAAUGAUAAAGGUUUUUGUUGAUUUGUAUUAUCCGAUUUUGAUCAGAUGGGAUCAAAUCAAAUAAGUUAGGAGAGUUUCAGCUUUUUAGAGAUUAGGUUCAAAUUAGACGACUGUAAAGUUAUCUCCGUAUGACCUAUAGGUCACGGGUUAGAGCCGUGAAAGCAGAGCCACUAAUGCUUGCAUUAAGUUACGCUAUCUACAUCACACCCUUGGGAUGCGGCCCUUCCCCGGACCCUGCUAACACGGGAUGCUUUGUGCACCGGGAUGCCCCUUUCAAAUUUAAAUUAGACUUAUCCCUUUAAUUCUGGACUAUCUAGAAUCAAGCAAUCAUUUUUCUUUUUUAGUGAUUUGUUUUCUCCAUACACUUUGAGUUAAUAGAACAUACUAUUCCACUACCAACACUUUCAUGGUAUCAGGGCAGUAGCCUUUUUUCAUCUGUUCAUGGCUAAGGCAGCCUUUAUGAGCAUGAACCCCAGCGGCAACAACAGAAGCCGAGAGUUCUGUUAGUGCAGUCCCUAGCGAAACAACCACGAGUUAAAGCAGCAAUUCAUCUCAUCUAUCCUUUUGACUAAUGUCCCAUAGGUUGAAUGGCCAAAAAAGUAUCUGUAGAGGGCACAAUAUGUCACCGGUUAGCGAUUGACGUCCGAGGAAAACUUGGGCACUUGACUGGUGAAAUCAGGAAACCUGAAGCUGGAGAUCCAAAGAUAAACGCCUAGAGGUCCGAGAACUCAUUGGUGAGAUUGUGUGGCUUCUAAACUGUAUGGAACCAAACAAUAGGUAAACCCUAUUUAUUUUUGCCUACUGCAAGAGAUGUAUGGAGUUUGUUAAAGAAACAUAUUCUGAUGUAGAAAAUGCUUCUCAAAUUUUUAAAUUAAAAAUUAAGAUUUGAAAGGCUAGGUAGUGAGAGAGAGAGGUGACCAGCUAUUACAAUGAAAUAGUUUCAUUACGGCAAGAGCUAGAUCAAUGCUACAAUGAUGAAUGAGGAUGUCCGACGGAUAGUGUAAAAGCAAUGAAAAGAAAAAAGAAAAUAAGAAAGUUUAUCUAUUCCUAGCAAGACUAAACCGAGAAUUCGAUGAAGAUCCGGAUCCUUGGAAACAGGGGCAGACGCACAUUGGGGCAAGUGGUGUCAUCCAACACUGUUUGCCGAGAAACUUUUAUUAUUAUAUAUAAAUAUAGCCUGCGCAUCGAAACAGUAAUAAUAAAAUAUAAGUGACACUGCUUGUCAACACGGGCUCUGCUGGCGCGCUGGUUAAGGUCAUCUAUUUUAUCAUUUUUAGCUUUCUUCGGAAGAAAAGUUAUUGUAGCCAGUAGGUUUCGAUCCCUCGACUCUGCCUAAAAUGGAGUAGCAAAACCAAAUGGACCAGCAUCUCUUACAUUAGUUUGACUGCCAGAUACUUUAUUUUGCUCUUCACCUCAGAGUAUCUAAAUGUUGAGAAUGUUUUCUCGGCGAUGAAGUUGAUUAAGAUUGACUUACGGAAUUUAAUGGAUAAUAAGCUUUUGAGUGGUUGUUUGUUGUCUUAUAUAGAAAACGAAGUAUUUAGUAAUAUUUUGAAUGAUUCUAUUAUGGAUGCAAAACUCGUCGAGGAGAGUUAUAAUAUUAUACUUGAAUUGUGUUUUUCUAAAUCAUGGUGUUGUUACAUUGAUCUAUUCAUUUAUUCACUUCUUUAAAUGUCGACACUGCUUAAGAAAAAUCCUGCGUACGCCACUGCGUAAGACAUACUCAGAAAGAAGAAGAGAAGAAGCCAGGAGAUGGCAUGUUGAAAUCAGAUCCUAAUCAAGAUUCAAAAUGAAAAGAUUCUUCUGCAAUGGUGGCUGCAAAAGGAGAUGCUGACAUCAUGGCAGCCAAGCAUUCCGAAUAAGCAACGAAGAGCAGGGGCACCGGUUGAACUUCAGAGGUGUCUCCGUUCACUAAGGAGCAAUUAUAACUCUUGCACAAGCUUCUCCAAAAUCAACUCCAAACCAGUAAACCAAGUUGUUUCAAUCCCUCUUCUUCUUUUUAGAACAAGGUCUCGAGGAGGAUGAUUGGCAAUGCUAAAGAGUCGAAGGUAUUUAGAAGCGGAAUUGCAAAAACAGUUGAAAACACGGAAUUUUGAAGACAAGGCACUGUGUUGCACUUGUACGAACCGUCAACGAGCUCGACGGUCCGUCAAGUUGGUCGUCGAAUUGCACUGAGUGAAAUAUCAGAGACUACCAUAUAUUGAUGUAAAACGACGGGAAGGUCAACGGACCGUCAACAUGAUCGACGGUCCGUCGAUGUACAAGGACGGGGGAGUUUCUGCAGCAUGAAAAUUGUCAUCAGAUUGUCGAAGUGCAUCGUCGACAUUCGACGGUACCGUCAAUGUGCAAAGAUGGUCCGUCGAGUUGCAAGCCGACCUGGAACUAGAUUAAGAUUAAUUAUUCCGAGUUUAACUUGUAUAAAUACCAAAUACCUAUUUAGGUUUUAUUUUUCAGACAUCUGGAGUUUUAGACUUGUAGUAAUUACUUUUGGGUUUUUAGUACAAUUGAA